rnacentral:rRNA from 1 species
UAGGGAAUCUUCGGCAAUGGACGAAAGUCUGACCGAGCAACGCCGCGUGAGUGAAGAAGGUUUUCGGAUCGUAAAACUCUGUUGUUAGAGAAGAACAAGGACGUUAGUAACUGAACGUCCCCUGACGGUAUCUAACCAGAAAGCCACGGCUAACUACGUGCCAGCAGCCGCGGUAAUACGUAGGUGGCAAGCGUUGUCCGGAUUUAUUGGGCGUAAAGCGAGCGCAGGCGGUUUCUUAAGUCUGAUGUGAAAGCCCCCGGCUCAACCGGGGAGGGUCAUUGGAAACUGAGAGACUUGAGUGCAGAAGAGGAGAGUGGAAUUCCAGGUGUAGCGGUGAAAUGCGUAAAUAUAUGGAGGAACAACAGUGGCGAAGGCGGCUUUCUGGUCUGUAACUGACGCUGAGGAUCGAAAGCGUGGGGAGCAAACAGG